rnacentral:lncRNA from 1 species
AGAGAGAGAGCGCUUGUGUGUGUGUGUGUGUGUGUGAAGUGGUUGUCUUUUGUGUCUCCUGGUCUGUUCUUGUAAACUGCUGCUGAUCAAUCUCUGAUUCGUUCUGUUACUGCUGUUGCAUUGUAAGUUCUUUUGUCGGUACAUUUUAUAAUAGUUAAAAUAUACUCUCACACACACACACUCUCACCCUCUCGCCCCUCUCCAUUCUUCAGUCUCUUCCUCGGUCCCCCAUCCCCUACUUACCAUUUCUCUAUCCCUCUUUCUCUCUCUGACCCUAAUCACCAUCUCUCUCUCUCUCUCUCUCUCUCUCUCUCUCUCGCUCCGUCAUCCCUCUGCCUCUGUCUCUCUCCCCAGUUCAGUUCAUUAACUGCCUGUCUAAUUGGAUAAAUCACAUUGAUUUCGUUUGUCAUUUUACUUGAUUAACUGAGUAACAAUUGUUCUUUUUUUUAAUUAAAAAAAAAAAAAAUCGACAUUUCUGGUUCAAGUUUCUUCAAGGUGAAAGCCAUUUGCCUUUUUUUAAUUCCUGCCUGCCUCUCACUUCCCCCUCCUACUCUCAUAUUACUUUCUCUAUCUCUCUCUCUCUCUCUCCUUUACAUAAAUGUCUCUCUCUCUCUCUCUCUCUCUCUCUCUCGCUCUCUCCUUCUACAUACAUUUCUCUAUAUGUGUGUGUGUCACCCUCUCUUUAUCUGUACAUAUAUUAACGGAUUAUAUAUAUAAUCCGUUUGCAUGUUGGCUUUUUCUUCUCUCACUCUCUCUCUCUCUCUCACUUUAUAUACAUACACACACACACACACACAACAUGUGCAUGUACAUACAUUUGUGUAUAUGUACAUGCGCACACGUGUGCGUGUGUGUAUAUAUAUAU